rnacentral:rRNA from 1 species
UACGAAGGGGGCUAGCGUUGUUCGGAAUUACUGGGCGUAAAGCGCACGUAGGCGGACUGUCAAGUCAGGGGUGAAAUCCCGGGGCUCAACCUCGGAACUGCCUUUGAUACUGUCAGUCUAGAGUCCGGAAGAGGUGGGUGGAAUUCCUAGUGUAGAGGUGAAAUUCGCAGAUAUUAGGAAGAACACCGGUGGCGAAGGCGGCCCACUGGUCCGGUACUGACGCUGAGGUGAGAAAGCGUGGGGAGCAAACAGG